rnacentral:rRNA from 1 species
UGCAGUCGAACGGCAGCGCGGGAGCAAUCCUGGCGGCGAGUGGCGAACGGGUGAGUAAUACAUCGGAACGUGCCCAAUCGUGGGGGAUAACGCAGCGAAAGCUGUGCUAAUACCGCAUACGAUCUACGGAUGAAAGCAGGGGACCGCAAGGCCUUGCGCGAAUGGAGCGGCCGAUGGCAGAUUAGGUAGUUGGUGGGGUAAAGGCUCACCAAGCCAACGAUCUGUAGCUGGUCUGAGAGGACGACCAGCCACACUGGGACUGAGACACGGCCCAGACUCCUACGGGAGGCAGCAGUGGGGAAUUUUGGACAAUGGGCGCAAGCCUGAUCCAGCCAUGCCGCGUGCAGGAUGAAGGCCUUCGGGUUGUAAACUGCUUUUGUACGGAACGAAAAGGUUCUUUCUAAUAAAGAGAGCUCAUGACGGUACCGUAAGAAUAAGCACCGGCUAACUACGUGCCAGCAGCCGCGGUAAUACGUAGGGUGCAAGCGUUAAUCGGAAUUACUGGGCGUAAAGCGUGCGCAGGCGGUGAUGUAAGACAGUUGUGAAAUCCCCGGGCUCAACCUGGGAACUGCAUCUGUGACUGCAUCGCUGGAGUGCGGCAGAGGGGGAUGGAAUUCCGCGUGUAGCAGUGAAAUGCGUAGAUAUGCGGAGGAACACCGAUGGCGAAGGCAAUCCCCUGGGCC